rnacentral:lncRNA from 1 species
UACCUUCUGCAUCCAAAGUGGUGAGAUCAGGUGCCAUCUAGUGUAAACCCUUCCUCUUAAUGCACAUCUGACUCCAUCCACUUCUUUCUGUUAUUUCUUCCUUUCCCUGCUUUCAUAAGCAAGCUCUGAAACCCUCAGCUGCUGGAACAAAAGCAAUUCAGCCUUUUCCCAGGAGAUUCUGCAGCAAAAAGCUCACCAAGUCCUCCUGGUGCUGUCUGCAGAGCUAAAGGGAAGUUGACUCAACAACCAUCGACUCCUCAUGCUGCCAAGGUGUUUUGUGUUAACUGGAGUGUGCCUGCUCAUGCAGGGAUGCACCUCCUCGUGAAAAGGGUUGUAAUAAGGGAGCCCAGAGCUCUGCAUCCCUCUCCAGCCUGGCAGGGAUGGGUUUGCAGCCUGGAGGAGAUGAGAGCAAAGCUUUGGAUGAAGAGUGUGACCCUGCAGCCCCAUUAUCCUCUGACUUUCCUUCAAAUCCAACUUCUGCUGGUUCUAUCUGGAGCUGAGAUGGAGCUGAGCCUGCUCCCUGCACUGUGGGGAACUUGUGAGCCUGCACUGUGCUGGAUUCAGCUUUGCUGCAGGAGGAAUGAACGGUGCUGGAAGCCAAGGCACCCAGGAAUUCUGCUGGAAAACCCUCUGGAUGCUUCUCCCUCUGCACUGGGAGCACUCAGCUGCAGCACUCAGCUGAUUCCUGCACAUGUCCAAGCUGUGCAAAGCAGCCUGGCCAGGGACAGAGGAUUGGGAGCCAAUCUGCUAAACAGGGAUUUAGCCAAGAGGCAGCCCCGAGUGCCAGCCCUCUCCUAAUACUCUCUUAAGCAGCACAGGCAGCUGCUGCUUCCUCCCUGGCCCUCCUCACAGUUCACCUCAGUCCUCCAACUGCAGCAAGGCAUUUCCAAGCAGAAUUAGGUUUUGUUGGCUUCUUGCUACAGUGCCUUUUAAUUAGGAGCACAGCUGCUCUGGAAACACGGAGCUCACUUUUCAAAGAGUGCCUCUGGAAAGUGAUUACAGGGGAUUAAAGCGGAAAGGUUAGGCAAUUUAUUCAGGUGGCACUUAGCAAACGCAUCGGAUUAUUUGGUGCUGCAAGGAUGAUUUAAAAACUCACAAGAAUAACAUCUUUAGGGCUCCUGCUGGCCUUGAGGGACUCUGCUGGCAAGGCAGGUGGUGGAGGUGAAAGCUGGGAGUGAG